rnacentral:rRNA from 1 species
CCUACGGGUGGCAGCAGUGAGGAAUAUUGGUCAAUGGGCGAGAGCCUGAACCAGCCAAGUCGCGUGAAGGAUGACGGCCCUACGGGUUGUAAACUUCUUUUGUCAGGGAGCAAUUUGGUCCACGCGUGGGCUUAGCGAGAGUACCUGAAGAAAAAGCAUCGGCUAACUCCGUGCCAGCAGCCGCGUUAAUACGAGGGAUGCGAGCGUUAUCCGGAUUUAUUGGGUUUAAAGGUUGCGUAGGCGGAAUAUCAAGUCAGCGGUAAGAAUUCGGGGCUCAACCCCGUCGUGUCGUUGAAACUGGUUUUCUUGAGUGAGUGAGAAGUAUGCGGAAUGCGUGGUGUAGCGGUGAAAUGCAUAGAUAUCACGCAGAACUCCGAUUGCGAAGGCAGCAUACCGGCGCUCAACUGACGCUCAUGCACGAAAGUGUGGGUAUCGAACAGGAUUAGAUACCCUGGUAGUC